rnacentral:rRNA from 1 species
CCCGCUGAACUUAAGCAUAUUAAUAAGCGGAGGAAAAGAAACUAACAAGGAUUCCCCUAGUAACGGCGAGUGAAGCGGGAAGAGCUCAAGCUUAAAAUCUCUGCGCAAGUUUUGCGUGGCGAAUUGUAGUCUAUAGAAGCGUGGUCAGUGUGGGCUCUCGGGGUAAGUUCCUUGGAAGAGGACAGCAUGGAGGGUGAAACUCCCGUUCAUACCUGAGUGGCUUGUGCGUACGACCCGUUUUCUUUGAGUCGCGUUGUUUGGGAAUGCAGCGCAAAGUAGGUGGUAAAUUCCAUCUAAAGCUAAAUAUUGGUGCGAGACCGAUAGCGAACAAGUACCGUGAGGGAAAGAUGAAAAGAACUUUGAAAAUAGAGUUAAAGAGUACCUGAAACUGCUGAAAGGGAACCGGAUCGUUUCCAGUGUCUAUAAUCCGUGGCAUAUUCCAUUGCCGAGUGUGUGCGUGUGUGGGUUUCGGCAGCGGCUUUGCGGCUGCGCUGUGCCUGUGCUGUGCGUGUGCUUGGUGGUGCCCUGUGCUGUGGUGGGACGUCAAGGUCAGUUCGUGUGCCGCGGGAAAUAUCUGCCGAGGAGGUAGGGCUUACGCUCCGCGUUUGUCUGUUAUAUCUUGGUAGACGAGUAGUCGCGGUUGGGACUGAGGUGCCUACAACGUGCUUUUGAGUGUGUGUGCUUCUCUGUGUGCGCGCCGUGCGAAUAGCUUGCUAUGCGUGUGGUGUUGUGUGUGGAUUGAGGCGUGCUGUAACUUGUUGCCGUUCGGGACGUUGACGAAAUGGAGCGAUUUGACCCGUCUUGAAACACGGACCAAGGAGUCUAACAUGUGUGCAAGUGUUAGGGUGUGGAAACCCGAGCGCGAAAUGAAAGUAAAGGGCAGCGCAAGCUGUCUGAGGUAGGAAACGUGUGGUCCUUCGGGAUUGUGUGUGGCACUAUCGACCGAUCAUGAACCUUCGUGGGGAAAGAUUUGAGUUUGAGCACAUAUGUUGGUACCCGAAAGAUGGUGAACUAUGCCUGAGUAGGGUGAAGCCAGGGGAAACUCUGGUGGAAGCUCGUAGCGAUUCUGACGUGCAAAUCGAUCGUCAAACUUGGGUAUAGGGGCGAAAGACUAAUCGAACCAUCUAGUAGCUGGUUCCCUCCGAAAUUUCCCUCAGGAUAGCAGCAACUUUUUUACGAUAGUUUUAUGAGGUAAAGCGAAUGAUUAGAGGAUUCGGGGAAGAAACUUCCUCGACCUAUUCUCAAACUUUAAAUCUGUAAGACCUGCAGGUUUCUUAAUUGAACUUGCGGAAGUGAAUAUCAAGUUGCUAGUGGGCCAUACGGGGUAAGCUCGUCUGGCG